GCGUCCUUUAGCGGCAACAUUGUACGAGUGGGCGGCUAUGCUUCUUCAAGCUGCGCACAGGUGUCAAUUGUUGCUGCGGAAGGAGAGCAGGUUUUGAUUUAUACCUCCUACUAAUUUGAGGAAGAACACUGCCUGAAACAUGAACAGGCCUCCAUGGUUUGACAGGGAAACCUUUACGCAACCUGUGCAUCGAGAUGAGACACUUGAACGUUCGAAAUAUUGGAGUCUGCGAAGAUUAUACUGUUUUGCUCGGAGCGGCUUGAGCUGGAAACCAAGAACGCGAAUUGAAUGCAGAGUUGAGGUGGGGAAUGAGGAUGCGACAGUCGCGCCACCCUCGGCGGUGGGCGUCACGUGCGGUCCUGUGGUACGGUGCUCUUCUCCUUUACACGAACCCCUCCCUGCAUCAAGCAACGCCACCAAACACCAAGGGGCACUGCAGCAGUGAUCGGACAAGAAGAACGCUCGAGGCGUGUCGUGAUGCGUGCGUGUACGUGAAAGAUAGAAAGAUGCAUUGAUGGAGAGAUAAUAAUGCAGCAAAAUGGCGAAAUAUGCCUCCUGCUACUGCUGCUCCCGCAACCGCCUCUAUUAUUUCCACGCCCACAUAGCGCGUAUGGGGUUCCCGUCCUGGUUCUUCAUCCCCCCACCCUUGCCGUCAUCUCUCUUCACUCUCCCUAACUCCUCAUUUAGGUUCCUUGAUCUCGAGGCCUUUUGAGUGCUCGGCGAUCCGUUUGAGCUGUUGGAUAUGGAGGAGCCGGUACCCCGCGCGCCUCAGCCGGCUGCGGCUGUGGUGGUGGCGCCCAGGCCCAAGUCGCCGCCCAAGUACCCCGACGUCUGCGGCCGCCGGAGGCUGCAGCUCGAGUUGCACAUCUUGAACCGCGAGAUCGGUUUCAUCGAGGAGGAGUUGCAAUCGCUCGAGGGAAUUCAACCUGUUUCCAGAUGCUGCAAGGAGUAUGCUUCACUUGUCAGAUCUUGUAUACUAUUUGUCUUUAUUUAGUGAUUCAGAAAGGAAAACUCGGGUAAACGAAUUUGUGGAGAUGAAACCAGAUCCACUAAUGCCUAUGUAUGAUUCUCCAACUUCACCUGUUGUGUACCAAGAUUUAUGUAAGAGAAUAUAACAUCUGCAAGUUCUUUUCUGUCAAUUAGAAAUAAACGGAGGCACAAAUCGUGUUGCUUGUGGAGAUGGCUACGGUCAAAGCUGUGCUUGGACUUCUCAUGGAUUUGCUGCUUAAGCUGGUACAUCCUCGGGCUUGAAAGAUCAAACUGUUCUUGUCCACAAAACUGUAGCUGUUGCGACUAUGGGUGUCCCUGCUCUGAGUGCUGCGAGGGUCUUACCAGUCGACCAUGCUGCUGUUGUUCAGGGAUUCCUUGCAGUUGCUCAAAGUUUCCUUGUAGUAGCAUUAAAACAUGUUUCAGCUGCUUGAAAGUUCCUUGCAGUUGUGGAGAAACAUGCUGCAGCUGCUCAAAAGUAUCGUGCAACUGCAGCAAAGCAUGCUGCAGUUGCUCAAGCUUGUCAUGCUGCAGACCUCAGUGCAGUUGCUGGAAUGCUUCCUCCUCCAGUCCUGGCUGCUGCAAGUGGUGGUCUUCCCGCUUCAAACCACGGUGUUCCAGUUCAUGUUGUGAUCAGCCAUCAUGCUCCGAUUCAUGUUGCAGCCAACCACUGUGCGGUAGCAGGAGGCCUUCUUGCUGUCCUCAACAAUGGUGCUGUGGCUGCUGUAGACCACAAUGGUGCUGUGCCGGAAGACCUCCAUGCUUCGGAUCAUGCUGUUUCCGAGAUCGGUGCUGUAGUCUGAGACCUUCACGCCCCACAACCUGCUGCCGUCUUCCAAACCUCUCCUGUCCUCAAUGCUCCUGUGGCUGUUCCUGGUCUUGCUCCAAGUCUACAGGAGGAUGUCUAUAUUAAGAUCAUAACACAAAGUUGUAUUCCUUAUACUGUGGAUGAAUCAAUGCAUAAUGUUGAGACAUUGUGAUCAAUAAAUGCAUUAGUCCCUCCUGCCUUUCAUUUGGAUUCACCCAAACAGUUGUUCUUCAGGGAGUAGUAAUUUACAUUUCUUUUAGAACUCC